rnacentral:rRNA from 1 species
CCGGGACGCGCCCAGGCGCACCCAGAAACCCUUUGUGAACUUAUACCUUACUGUUGCCUCGGCGCAUGCCGGCCCCCUUGGGGGCCCCUCUCCGGAGGAGCAGGCACGCCGGCGGCCAACCUAACUCUUGUUUUUACACUGAAACUCUGAGAAUAAAACAUAAAUGAAUCAAAACUUUCAACAACGGAUCUCUUGGUUCUGGCAUCGAUGAAGAACGCAGCGAAAUGCGAUAAGUAAUGUGAAUUGCAGAAUUCAGUGAAUCAUCGAAUCUUUGAACGCACAUUGCGCCCUCUGGUAUUCCGGAGGGCAUGCCUGUUCGAGCGUCAUUUCAACCCUCAAGCCUGGCUUGGUGAUGGGGCACUGCCUGUAAAAGGGCAGGCCCUGAAAUUCAGUGGCGAGCUCGCCAGGACCCCGAGCGCAGUAGUUAAAUCCUCGCUUUGGAAGGCCCUGGCGGUGCCCUGCCGUUAAACCCCCAACUUUUGAAAAUUUGACCUCGGAUCAGGUAGGAAUACCCGCUGAACUUAAGCAUAUCAAUAAGCGGAGGAAUCUUGCUGGAACGCGCCCAGGCGCACCCAGAAACCCUUUGUGAACUUAUACCUUACUGUUGCCUCGGCGCAGCCGGCCCCCUUGGGGGCCCUCUCCGGAGGAGCAGGCACGCCGGCGCCAACCUAACUCUUGUUUUUUCACUGAACUCUGAGAAUAAAACAUAAAUGAAUCAAAUUUUCAACACGAUCUCUGGUUCUGGCAUCAUGAAGAAGCAGCGAAAUGCGAUAAGUAUGUGAAUGUCGAAAUAUGAAUCAUCAAUCUUGAAGCAUGCGCUCGGGUAUUCGGAGGGCAUGCUGUUGAGCGUCAUUCCACCUCACCUGGCUGGGGUAUGGGGCAGCAGUUAAGGGCAAGCCUGUAAAUUCAUUGGCGAGCUGCCAGACGGAGCAUAUUAACUCCUUGAAGCUGCGUCUGCCUACCACCUUUUUGAUAG